rnacentral:rRNA from 1 species
UGGCGAACGGGUGAGUAACACGUGGGUAAUCUGCCCUGCACUCUGGGAUAAGCCUGGGAAACUGGGUCUAAUACUGGAUAUGACCUUUCUCCUUAUGGGGUUUGGUGGAAAGUUUUUCGGUGUAGGAUGAGCCCGUGGCCUAUCAGCUUGUUGGUGGGGUGAUGGCCUACCAAGGCGACGACGGGUAGCCGGCCUGAGAGGGUGAUCGGCCACAUUGGGACUGAGAUACGGCCCAG